UACAGAGACUGCAAGCGUUAUUCGGAUUCACUGGGCGUAAAGGGUGCGCAGGCGCCAUGUGUGUCAGGUGUGAAAGCCCGAGGCUCAACCUCGGAAUUGCGCCUGAAACUACAUGGCUAGAGUACUGGAGAGGGUAGCGGAAUUCAUGGUGUAGCAGUGAAAUGCGUAGAUAUCAUGAGGAACACCAGAGGCGAAGGCGGCUACCUGGACAGUUACUGACGCUCAGGCACGAAAAGCGUGGGGGAGCAAAAGGG
rnacentral:rRNA from 1 species